GAUGAACGCUAGCUACAGGCUUAACACAUGCAAGUCGAGGGGCAGCAUGGCGGUUGCUUGCAACCGCUGAUGGCGACCGGCGAAUGGGUGAGUAACGCGUAUCCAACCUGCCCCUGGCCCGGGGAUAGCCCUUGGAAAUGAGGAUUAAGACCCGAUACGUGCCGCCGCCGCAUGACGGUGGCAUGAAACAGGCGAGGGAUGGGGAUGCGUUGGAUUAGCCGGGCGGCGGGGUAACGGCCCACCGCGGCGACGAUCCAUAGGGGUUCUGAGAGGAAGGUCCCCCACACUGGUACUGAGACACGGACCAGACUCC
rnacentral:rRNA from 1 species